rnacentral:rRNA from 1 species
GACGAACGCUGGCGGCGUGCUUAACACAUGCAAGUCGAACGGAAAGGCCCUGCUUUUGUGGGGUGCUCGAGUGGCGAACGGGUGAGUAACACGUGAGUAACCUGCCCUUGACUUUGGGAUAACUUCAGGAAACUGGGGCUAAUACCGGAUAGGAGCUCCUGCUGCAUGGUGGGGGUUGGAAAGUUUCGGCGGUUGGGGAUGGACUCGCGGCUUAUCAGCUUGUUGGUGGGGUAGUGGCUUACCCAGGCUUUGACGGGUAGCCGGCCUGAGAGGGUGACCGGCCACAUUGGGACUGAGAUACGGCACAGACUCCUACGGGAGGCAGCAGUGGGGAAUAUUGCACAAUGGGCGGAAGCCUGAUGCAGCAACGCCGCGUGCGGGAUGACGGCCUUCGGGUUGUAAACCGCUUUCGCCUGUGACGAAGCGUGAGUGACGGUAAUGGGUAAAGAAGCACCGGCUAACUACGUG